rnacentral:rRNA from 1 species
AUUGAACGCUGGCGGCAUGCCUUACACAUGCAAGUCGAACGGUAACAGGUUAAGCUGACGAGUGGCGAACGGGUGAGUAAUGUAUCGGAACGUGCCCAGUCGUGGGGGAUAACUGCUCGAAAGAGCAGCUAAUACCGCAUACGACCUGAGGGUGAAAGCGGGGGAUCGCAAGACCUCGCGCGAUUGGAGCGGCCGAUAUCAGAUUAGGUAGUUGGUGAGGUAAAGGCUCACCAAGCCGACGAUCUGUAGCUGGUCUGAGAGGACGACCAGCCACACUGGGACUGAGACACGGCCCAGACUCCUACGGGAGGCAGCAGUGGGGAAUUUUGGACAAUGGGCGCAAGCCUGAUCCAGCCAUGCCGCGUGCGGGAAGAAGGCCUUCGGGUUGUAACCCGCUUUUGUCAGGGAAGAAAAGGUUCUGGCUAAUACCUGGGACUCAUGACGGUACCUGAAGAAUAAGCACCGGCUAACUACGUG